GGGAGAUGAGCUGCCCUUGAGGACAGGGCGGUGGUCAGGAAAUGGCAGACUCCACUCUUUCUGAAAAGAGGCCAGGAGUCCUGGUCUCAGGUCCUUGGGUACUGCAGAGCAGACGUCAUUAGACAUUUCCUUUGAGUAAUCAGGACUGCAGAUUUGCCCUGAGAAGUGCAAAAUCAACACAGAAAUAUCUCUUCCAUCAGUACCUGUGCAUCAGGGCAGAAACUGUAAUUCUUGUCAUUCUUGCCCUUGCUAUGAUGUUUGGCAUCUGAUGAAACAGUGCCUCACAAAGUCCAGCUGCAAUUCUUGCCAGGGCUGAAGCGAGUUCCUCUCCUGGUGUCAGAGGACAGCUUGCUUAUUGUUGUAAAUUUUUUAUUUUCUCAUCAGAGGCUCCCAGCUGUCUCUCCAAAUCUGAAUACAAGAAGUCAAAUGUGAGAGCAGCCAGGUGGAGUUAUUAGCAUUGCGGCAGACCUUCUCAUCUCAGCAGCUGCAUCAGUUAUUCUCGUGUGUUGGCUUGAGAUGCCCUGCACCAAACCAUGGGCCCUUUACUCAAUCGACCCCAUGAUUCGGAAGGCCCCGGCAUCUCGGCAGGCAAAUGACGUGAUGAGGAAGGAGUCAUGGAAGGGCAUUGAGCCAGCACCUUACACAGCAGCUUCAGUUUCCACUGUCAGUGCGUGAUAUGUGAAUGAAAAUCCCUGCGUAGUCAUUAAUGCAUAAUGCCUCAGUCACUGCCUCAAAAAUCAAUCUUUUACUGCCUCAACGAGGAAAAAAAACAAUCCCACUGCUCUCCCAGGCCCUGUAGUGUGAGUCUAUCAUGGCCACUUGGGCAUCACUUGGGCUCAGCUCCCUGACAUGACAGAGUGUAAUAGCUUCAUAAAAAAGCAAGAGUGGUGGUUUUUUCAAACACCAUUUGCUGUGUUUGAACAAAUGUGCUUCAUCACAGCUCCGCCUGCCUGUGGGCUGCUCUGUAGCUGACAGAUAGCCCCAGCCUAAGGAAGCUAAGGUAAAGAUACAUGAAGUUCACCUUCCUGCACACUCAAAAUAUUCAAAUCUUCUCUAACCACAGCCACAGGGCUCGUGCCAAAUAGGUGUGCCCCUUCCUUGAAUUUGUAUGUGUGAAUAUUUCAAGCAGUGAUGGCCCUGUAUACCUUCUAAGGAAAAAUAUGUCUCUCAAAUCAGCUGUUGUUGUUACUUUUUGCCCUUGUGGUUUCCCGGCAUGACCCCAGGCACCUGUUAGUAGCUGUUGUGCUCCAAGACCACAACCUCCUAAACAAAGGUAUUUAUAUUUCAAAGGGGAUGAGGCCUUAUUCAGUUCCUUCCUUCCCCACCUCCUUUAAGAAAAUUCCAGCAUUUGGGCUGGGCGUGG
rnacentral:lncRNA from 1 species